AUCUUCCACAAUGGACGGAAGUCUGAUGGAGCAACGCCGCGUGAGCGAAGAAGGUUUUCGGAUCGUAAAGCUCUUUUGUAAGGGAAGAACACGUACGGGAGUCACUGCCCGUACCUUGACGGUACCUUAUCAGAAAGCCACGGCUAAGUACGUGCCAGCCGCCGCCGUAAUACGUAGGUGGCAAGCUUUGUCCGGAAUUAUUGGGCGUAAAGCGCGCGCAGGCGGUCCUUUAAGUCUGAUGUGAAAGCCCACGGCUUAACCGUGGAAGGUCAUUGGAAACUGGAAGGCUUGAGGAUAGAAGAAGAGAGUGGAAUUCCACGUGUAGCGGUGAAAUGCGUAGAGAUGUGGAGGAACACCAGUGGCGAAGGCGACUUUCUGGUCUAUAACUGACGCUGAGGCGCGAAAGCAUGGGGAGCAAACA
rnacentral:rRNA from 1 species